AUUGAACGCUGGCGGCAUGCUUUACACAUGCAAGUCGAACGGUAACAGGGAGCUUGCUCCGCUGACGAGUGGCGAACGGGUGAGUAAUGCGUCGGAACGUGCCGAGUAGUGGGGGAUAACGCAUCGAAAGGUGUGCUAAUACCGCAUACGAACUGAGGUUGAAAGUGGGGGACCUUCGGGCCUCACGCUAUUCGAGCGGCCGACGUCUGAUUAGCUAGUUGGUGAGGUAAAGGCUCACCAAGGCGACGAUCAGUAGCGGGUCUGAGAGGAUGAGCCGCCACACUGGUACUGAGACACGGCCCAGGCUCCUACGGGAGGCAGCAGUGGGGAAUUUUGGACAAUGGGCGCAAGCCUGAUCCAGCCAUGCCGCGUGUCUGAAGAAGGCCUUCGGGUUGUAAAGGACUUUUGUCCGGGAGCAAAUGCUGGUGGCUAACAUCCACCGGAGCUGAGAGUACCGGAAGAAUAAGCACCGGCUAACUACGUGCCAGCAGCCGCAGUAAAAC
rnacentral:rRNA from 1 species